rnacentral:misc_RNA from 1 species
AACAUCGCGCACCUGCGGGAACCUGCGGAAGGAUCAUUACAGAGUUGCAAAACUCCCUAAACCAUUGUGAACGUUACCUAAACCGUUGCUUCGGCGGGCGGCGCGCCCUCGCGCGCGCCCCUGGGCCCCACCGCGGGCGCCCGCCGGAGGUCACCAAACUCUUGAUAUUAAUUGGCCUCUCUGAGUCUUCUGUACUGAAUAAGUCAAAACUUUUAACAACGGAUCUCAGAUCGGAAGAGC